GGGAUGUACACAAUUAUUUUAAAUCAGUCUGAACUAAAUCCAUACAACCUUAAAAUAGCUCAAUUCAUUUGUGUCGAAACAACGAAAAAUAAUGAUUUGAGUCAAACUACUACUUUUGCGCAUGCGCUGAUGACAGGAAAUCCACGUGACCUCGUCAGUUGCCGCGGGCGCCAUUAAUGUGGUGGAGUCCAGUCCAUGGUGGAAUGCUGUAGAAUUGGUUUUUACAAGAGCUCAUUAAAUGGCAUCAUAUGCUUGGGUUAUAGUCUACUUUUUCACAUGUUAUAAAAUUAGCCAUUUCAUUCAGGCAACUGCUGCUGAGCAAUCUGUAGGAGAUUUCUCUGUUCAGAAUAACAGCAUAGACAUGGAAAGAGAAUGCAUCCUCAAAGCACUGUGUGUAUACUUAAAGAAGGACCAUCUACAGCUGUUCAAGGAGUACAAUAAAACGUGCAAAAACUGAGUUCUCUUUCAAGUCUUGUGCUUCAGAGGCCAAAUUCAUACAAAAAUUAUAUCAAUAUGCCCAUCUUGGAUUGCGACUGGAUGAAUGCUAAAGAAGCCAUAGAGCAGAUGGUAAUGGGGAUCUACAUCGUCCAAUCCACAGGACACCAACCAGGAGAUAAACCUGUGGACGUUGGUAUCCUGAUUGAAGGGACAGAGGUUCUCUGUUCUUUGAAGAACGUAGCUGUAGCAGUGACCAUGCUGUUUGGACUUACUUACGCCUUGAACCACAGCUACCCACAAGAACUCAAGGCAAUAUUUGAGGUCUUCCAGAAAGUGUUCUUUAUCUUGGAUGGACAAAAACUUUCACCAAAGGUACAAGCCCCCAAGAACAAGAUACUGGAGUAAGUUACCUUAUGUGUGUAUUCUCAAAAGACUAAAUCUUGACUCAAGAAGGUAUUAGCUGUGCAUAUUCAUUGAAAUAUCAGUAUUGUUCAUCUUGGAUUAUAUUUUUUUGUAUUUUUUCACCUGAAAAUUUGCCUUGAAAUAAGA